GGAGAUGUGGGUGAGUGGCUGAAACCACCGGUUUGCUAAACCGACGCACUUCGAAAGGGGUGCCGCGGGUUCGAAUCCCGCCGUCUCCG
rnacentral:tRNA from 1 species